UGACAUAACUCGAUGAUUAUUUUAUUAUUUUGUUGCCCCAAAAGCCCGGCUUGUGACUCUGGAGGUACUGAACUUGAUAUAUUUUAUACACAAGCCUCCAUUCAAGUAGGAAGAUGAAACAGAAGUCUUGCAGAGUUCUCAUUCCAGAUGGAAUUCAGGCAACCUUCAGGGUGGAAGAGUAGAAGACCACAGAAUGAUGUUUACUUGGCAUUUGUAUUUAAUGCAAUCAUAUAUUCAAGCAGUACUCUACAUAUAUAUA